UGCCCCACUGGGUCGGGUUGGGCGUCCACGGGCCUUCGAUGCCCGAGGUCGUGAUGUGGCCCUUCUCGAUCUCUUCGGGAUCGGUCAGCCA
rnacentral:tRNA from 1 species